CUUGGGAUGCAAUAACUUUUAAUUUUUUCUCUGUGAGAUCUGCGAUAGAUACGGGAGCAAGUGUAAUUGACUUGAUGACUCGACUUGCAUUCCUACUCCACAUGUUCCUCGACUUUUCUCUUGACUUGCUUGUGAGGUAUAGAGUCUGCUCCUGGCCUUGUUUUACCUGGUAUGUCUAUGUGUACCCACCCGCAUGCUCAUCAGCAACAUUGAUUGGAUAAUAUGCGACUAGACAAUUUUGCCUCAUCGAACACUUCUGUGAACCUUUCUUGAAGCCAUUACAACUGAAUGUGUUUGUGUUUGUUGUAUUAUAUACUUUAUGAUCUAUCUUAGAAUUGAAAAAGGAUGACGUAAAGUCUCUGAAAUUCAACAAAGUUAAAUGACUCUUCAAAAUUCUGCAGAUGUGCUGUAGGUCUGGAGGACUUUACACCAAAUUGUCUCUGUAACUGAGCUACAUAAUUGGAGGUUCGAUAUAGUACCAGGAAGCCUGAACCUUGCUUAUUCCAUUUGUGAUUUUUCAUAAGAUUGUCCAUGCAGAGUUCUUUGCAUCAUGACUUUCUGUUAUGCUGAUCCAAAAAUAUUACUUUUAUAACCUGCCACUUUAUGUGAUUUAGGGCAAAUGUUUUGUCCUGUUGAUGUACUUGUAAAANNNNNNNNNNNNNNNNNNNNNNNNNNNNNN
rnacentral:lncRNA from 1 species